AUGCCACCAGGGCUCUGGGGGCUGCUCCGUAAUUCCCGGGACGUACGGGCCACCGGAGCUGCUUGACGCCCACAGUUCCCUGAGCCAGAGGACCACCCUCAUAUUCCUGAAAGAAAUCCAAGAGGCCCAGAUGGGUUUGUGGUGCCUUGAGGACAAGGCUUCGGAAGGAGAUCAUGCUAAUCACCAACUCGUAGGCCUGAGAGCUUGAGUUCUAUGUAGGAAAAGCAAAGUCAAUCAAAGUGUCUAUCUGCAUAGAGAUGUGUCAUGAUGAAAACCAUGCUUAGUUUGGGGAGAAGGUGACAGGAUUGUCAGAAGAACUUUGAGAAGUCAUCUCAGAGACUACUGAGCUGCUUGCCUACUAACCUUUCAACAAAAAGGAAGCUGAGAGAUGCAGCCUAGAAGGGUGUUUAUUUGUAAUCUGUACACUACCAGAUAAUUUCUUUUUAAUUCUGUCAGUGUAAAUGAGAAGAAAAUAUUACAUGCUAAAACUCUGUUUCCUUAAAAAAAAAGUGCUAUGUAUGUGUCCUUGAUGUCAUAUGAACAUAUAUUGGUUAUCUUGCUAAAAAUUAGUGUUAAUGUUACCUUUACAUCUUGUUUAUGAAUAUGAUCAUUUUUUUUUUGGUCCUCUCUUUCCCAUAAAUCACCAUAUCAAAACAAAAUGAAGAGACUUUGGAGAACUUCAAUGUGACCUUAGAAAUAAAGGUAAAUUUCUGUUUUGAUACAUUUCAAGGCAACAUUGAACAGGCCACUUACUAGCAAUGGUUCUUAUUCAUGGACAAAUUGCUGUUCAUUUUAUCAUUCACUUACAAACUUGUGAAACGACAUGUAAUUUUAACAGAAUUCUAUGUACUUUUCAUAAUAGAGGACUCCGCACAGGAUAGUCCAGUAUGCCUACAUGCCUCAGGCUGAUCCAUCACACAGUAGCCUGGAAAUAAGAACCUUACGCUAAACCUUAUGCUGUGAUAUAUAAGCUGUCUACUAAGCUGUAAGCCUAGGCAACCAAACAACCAUGUUAUCUAUAAACAAUGAGUGAAUUUGAAGUUAAUAAUAUUUUUUAAAAUGAGAAAUGCAUUUUACUCAACAUUUUCUCUGUGGCACUUACUCAGCUUGUUAUAUAAAAGUAACAAUUUUUAUAGCAAGGGUUUCCAAAUUCUGGUUCCUAAUCAGCAGUAUCAGCAUUGCCUGGGAACAUGCUAGAAAUUCAAAUUCUUGGACCUUACCCCAGAACUACUGAGUAGGAAACUCUGGGGCUGGGCACAGCAUUCUGUAUUUUAACCAACCGUCUGAUGUGAUUCUGAGGCCUAUUUUAGUUUGAGAACCACUGGCCUGUAGAAUUUGGUGCCAUAGUAUAUUUACCAGAAAAAAUAAAUGUAGAAAGAACAGUUCUAUUGAAAAAAAUCUAGAUUAAUAUAUUUGAACUUUUAAUUUAUAUUUUAUUGCUAUUAUUUUUAUAGUAAAAGUCACCUUAAUAUGCAUUUCCAUAAUAAAGUUGUCCUAAUA